rnacentral:misc_RNA from 1 species
CAUAAAUUUGCUCUCAUUUCAGGCUUCCUGGUUCAGCAAAUUGCGGCAGAAGCAUCGCCUUUGGUGUACUUUACCGGAGUUCACCUUAUUUUCCAACAUUCAGAGUCCUGCCGUGCUGUGGAACAAAGCUGUUAACCAAAUCAUGAGUCCUAAGUACUCUCGUUUCGACUAAACAUAUCGCUCAUUCAUCACUCAAACAUCCUCUUCCCUUUUUUUUAAAAAAACCUUCUUUAACCCUGAACCUUAUUUCCUCCCAUUUUUCCUCCUAAUCACCUUGAUAUUUUUUAUACUCCCUUUACAUCCAUUUCUCAUUUUCUCGCUUUCGCUUUCCCUCUCCCUACUUUUUUUCUGUCGCUUUUUCUAUUACACACGAACAUCUUUCUCUCUAGAACAAUGUUACGCUCGCCAUCGAUAUCACCAGCGCCACCUUUAUCACCACCGCCACCUCCACCACCACUGCUACCACCACUGCCACCAUCGCCAGUACUUCUAAUGCUGUUACAACUGCUACAACGACCACAACCCUCCGUACCACAAAUAGCGACCUAAUUACAAUAACUAAUCAAGAUAAUCGACUACCAAACACUGAUACCACCCACCACCACCAUCUGGAGUGUUUCGGAGCUACCAUUGGCAAGAAUGGCGAAUAUUGGUGAAGGCCGCCCUUGCAAUGGGAUGCCGUGUCUACUGGAGCAAGAUGAAGACCCUAAAGAGCUAAGUGAGCUGAGUAAAACCCUUGCUGAUUAUCAGGCGGCCAGAGAGCGGAUAAACAGCAGAUUGCACAAGAUCCGUUUAGAGCUGUCUGAAAUCAGGGAUCAAGACGUGAAACUGUUGAAGCAGUUGAUACAAAUAAGUGAAACGAUUAAAAAGCUAAGUGAUGACCGCUUGAGUAAACGACGGACAUGGUAUGGUCAGCGCCAAUCAAUAUGCAGCGAAACAUCGGACAUAUAUCUUGAUUUGGUGUCACGGUCACCCGAUAUGGACGAGUUGAGAGAGGCUAUGAUAUUCAGGCAGUUCAGCGAACCUACAUCCUUUUCUAGAGAGAUCUAUUUAGAUCCAACUGCAAGCACAGCAAUAUUCGAUGCCAGUGUACAUUUGACGAAUGGAAACCACAAUAAGGAACCCCAACAGAACUGGGGCAUGGAUUUAUCGAAAGUUCCAUUACGUCACAGACCUCAUUCAGUAGCGAUUGUGUGCGAAAAAACCUACAGUAUGGAUUCUAGUCAGGAAUGGCUGUUCAAAAAUGAUAAAUCUUAUGCCGAACUUCUCGAGAGGAGCAUUCGUUUGUGGAAAAGCAGACGGUGCGACAGUCAAAGUGAUGAAAACGACGAAAAAGUGUUGUCUUUAAUAAACGAAUAUAUGAAAAGUGAGCAGAACCAGAAAAGCACCUCAGACCAAAUUAAAUGUUUGUCGAAAGAUGAUACGUCUAAAAAGGAUUAUUGCGAUGUAGCUGAGAGUGCCGCCGCAGAAGCGACGGAAAGUGAGUUAGAGACAGCGAAUUUCGUCGGUGAUAAGGAUGUAGUUAGAUCGUUAAGUCGAUCUUCUGGUACGAGUUUCAAUCUUUGUGGACAGAGUGAUUCUGUCGAAAAGCUUGAAGAGGAAAACGUCUUUCGAAAAGAUGUCGAAAAAGAUGUCGACUCGAAAGUUUCUUCUAGAACCACUCAUAGUCUCUUUAGUGGUAUUAGUAGCAGCAGUAAUAGUCGAAAUCAUAGCAACAACAACACCACCAACGUGACACUAUCACCGCAACCAACUCAGCAAAGUGUUAUUACUGAAGUGAAAAAAAAUAUUAGAUAAUCAAAAUGGCUGCGAUAACGCUUUGAAACUUAUUUAAAUUAUAUGCGUGUGUGUGUGAGAGAAAGAGAAAGAUAUAUAUAUAUAUAUAUAU